CACGGGGGCAACCCUGGUGGCGAGUGGCGAACGGGUGAGUAAUACAUCGGAACGUGCCCAGUAGUGGGGGAUAGCUCGGCGAAAGCCGGAUUAAUACCGCAUACGACCUACGGGUGAAAGCGGGGGAUCGCAAGACCUCGCGCUAUUGGAGCGGCCGAUGUCAGAUUAGGUUGUUGGUGGGGUAAAGGCUCACCAAGCCGACGAUCUGUAGCUGGUCUGAGAGGACGACCAGCCACACUGGGACUGAGACACGGCCCAGACUCCUACGGGAGGCAGCAGUGGGGAAUUUUGGACAAUGGGCGAAAGCCUGAUCCAGCCAUGCCGCGUGCGGGAAGAAGGCCUUCGGG
rnacentral:rRNA from 1 species